rnacentral:rRNA from 1 species
CUAGCCCUAAACGAUGAUCGCUUGGUGUAUUGGGUACCCAAUCCCAAUGUGCCGGAGCUAACGCGUUAAGCGAUCCGCCUGGGGAGUACGGUCGCAAGACUGAAACUCAAAGGAAUUGACGGGGGCCCGCACAAGCGGUGGAGCAUGUGGUUCAAUUCGACGCAACGCCCCUAACCAUAACGGGGCUGGAAAUGUAGUGGACCCCCCUGGAUCCUUCCGUUUGACAACGGGGAGUCC